UGGCGGACGGGUGAGUAACGCGUGGAUAACCUGCCUUAUACAGGGGGAUAACAGGGAGAAAUUCUUGCUAAUACCCCAUAGGUAUGUCUGACGCAUGUUGGACAUAUUAAAGCUUUGGCGGUAUAAGAUGGGUCCGCGUCUGAUUAGCUAGUUGGUGGGGUAAAGGCCCACCAAGGCGACGAUCAGUAGCCGGCUUGAGAGAGUGGACGGCCACAUUGGGACUGAGACACGGCCCAAACUCCUACGGGAGGCAGCAGUGGGGAAUAUUGCACAAUGGGGGAAACCCUGAUGCAGCGACGCCGCGUGGAGGAAGAAGGUCUUCGGAUCGUAAACUUCUAUCAGCAGGGAAGAAGGAAGUGACAGUACCUGAGUAAGAAGCCCCGGCUAACUACGUGCCAGCAGCCGCGGUAAUACGUAGGGGGCGAGCGUUAUCCGGAAUUACUGGGUGUA
rnacentral:rRNA from 1 species